rnacentral:rRNA from 1 species
AUGGAACGCUGCGGCAGGCCUAACACAUGCAAGUCGAACGGUAACAGGAAGAAGCUUGCUUCUUUGCUGACGAGUGGCGGACGGGUGAGUAAUGUCUGGGAAACUGCCUGAUGGAGGGGGAUAACUACUGGAAACGGUAGCUAAUACCGCAUAACGUCGCAAGACCAAAGAGGGGGACCUUCGGGCCUCUUGCCAUCGGAUGUGCCCAGAUGGGAUUAGCUAGUAGGUGGGGUAACGGCUCACCUAGGCGACGAUCCCUAGCUGGUCUGAGAGGAUGACCAGCCACACUGGAACUGAGACACGGUCCAGACUCCUACGGGAGGCAGCAGUGGGGAAUAUUGCACAAUGGGCGCAAGCCUGAUGCAGCCAUGCCGCGUGUAUGAAGAAGGCCUUCGGGUUGUAAAGUACUUUCAGCGGGGAGGAAGGGAGUAAAGUUAAUACCUUUGCUCAUUGACGUUACCCGCAGAAGAAGCACCGGCUAACUCCGUG